GCCUACGGGGGGCAGCAGUGGGGAAUAUUGCCCAAUGGGGGAAACCCUGAUGCAGCGACGCCGCGUGAGUGAAGAAGUAUCUCGGUACGUAAAGCUCUAUCCGCAGGGAAGAAAAAAAGUCUUUGGCUUUGGACGGUACCUGACUAAGAAGCCCCGGCUAACUACGUGCCAGCAGCCGCGGUAAUACGUAGGGGGCAAGCGUUAUCCGGAAUCACUGGGUGUAAAGGGAGCGUAGACGGCUGUGCAAGCCUGAAGUGAAAGGCGGGGGCCCAACCCCUGGACUGCUUUGGGAACUGUACGGCUGG
rnacentral:rRNA from 1 species